rnacentral:rRNA from 1 species
GCCAGACUCCUACGGGAGGCAGCAGUGGGGGAUAUUGCACAAUGGGGGGAACCCUGAUGCAGCGACGCCGCGUGGGUGAAGGAGUGCUUCGGCAUGUAAAGCCCUAUCGGCAGGGAAGAAGCAAGACGGUACCUGACUAAGAAGCCCCGGCUAACUACGUGCCAGCAGCCGCGGUAAUACGUAGGGAGCGAGCGUUGUCCGGAAUUACUGGGUGUAAAGGGAGCGUAGGCGGGGAUGCAAGUUGGGUGUUAAAUCUACCGGCUCAACUGGUAGUCGCACUCAAAACUGCAGCUCUUGAGUGAGGUAGAGGCAGGCGGAAUUCCUAGUGUAGCGGUGAAAUGCGUAGAUAUUAGGAGGAACACCAGUGGCGAAGGCGGCCUGCUGGGCUUUUACUGACGCUGAGGCUCGAAAGUGUGGGGAGCAAGCAGGAUUAGAUACCCUAGUA